GUACCUUUUUCCUGCAAAUGGAAUAAUUUUUGUAUAUUAUCAAGGUGUCAAUUUCACUGUGACUUCAGGAGAAUUUUUUUUCCAAUUUAUCGUUUUGUGUAUUAAAAUGAUAUCCUUUGCAUCUAAGGCAUUGCCAUACCCUAAUUGCCCCUAAUUUCUGCACAGAUUUAGAAUUCUGUCUUAGAGUGCAUAUAUGACAGUGUGUUUGUGUAACAAAUGGUAACUCUUGACUAAUUGCAAGUUCUUUAUCAUAGAUACAUGAUCACAAAUACUCUAUGACUUCAUUCCACUAAAAGCUACACUCACAGCCAUUUGUGACCAGACUUGGGCCAAUUUGUUGUUUUCAUCGCAGUCCCGCCAUGUCAUUGGUAAAACUAGG